UGCUACGUCACGUGCGUGGCGGUGUUUACCGCGGCUGGCGGUGGUUGCUUGGCAACCGCGGCGGAGGCUGCGGCCUCCUCGUCCCGGGCGCUCCUCGGCCCCGGGGGAGCUGAGGGGCCGGCCGGCAGAGGAAUAAAUGAAGAAAGAAGGAAGAAAGGAAAGAAAGAAGGAAGUUCAUAAGAAACUGAGUAUCACCUCCAGGCAGUGCCACCUUUUUCCCCCCAGUGGAGCUGUAAUCUGACUUUCUUUAGAUCUCCAGGGUACAGCAAUUAGACUGCUCAAGGAGUGAGGCUUGCUGCCAGCUGACAAUGGAGCUUGAGAUGGAGCUGCACAUCACAGACAGGAUCAGAACUUGCUAUUCACAGAGUUCCUCCUUGGCUCCAGUGGUGUAAAGCCAGUUCCUGCUACAUGGAAAAAUUGCUCCAUUACAUGCAAAAAAUUAAAUUCAAGCAGCUUGGAUUUAUUUGAUGUAACACCAACACAGCUCUGGGAUGAUCCCAUUAAGAGCACUGCAGUCAUGCUCUGUUUCUAAAAGGAUAUCUAAAGAUAACCCAAGCCAAGAAGAUCUAAGCUGAAGUUUUGUAAACAAGUAAGCUAAGACUCACACCUUGUACUCAACAGGACGAAAACAGCCAAACCAGAAGGUGUUAUAUAAAGACCAACAGAUGGGUCAGGUACAAGUUUACAUCCUUAUCAUUGGCUGUAUUUGACAGAAGCAAAACCAGGAAGUGCUGACUUCUUUGAGACUCUGAUUGAACAGAGUGGGGGAAAACCCCCCACCUUUUGAAAUAGCGCUGCUUUUUCUC
rnacentral:lncRNA from 1 species